UGACACUACGUACCAAAGAGAUGCAGACGAUCCCAGCAAAUUAUUAGAAUGCCAUAAUGCAUGUUAAGCACCAACCUUAGCCACAUGAUGCAAUUUAUGACGAAAUUACUGAAAAUAAUGUUGCAUUCACACUCCCAAGUUGUUCAUAAUUCACUACAACACUUAGGUGUUUUUGCCGUGGGAAAAUUUUGCCGCUGAAUGUCCGAAAACUGUGGAUAAAUCACUUCUGCUGCGUUUUAUUCCUCGUAGAUGAAACGCCGCGUAUUCGGCGGGACACUUGCCCUGGUUAUAGCAGCAAGCUUCAUCGCCGAUGAUCACACCCCUUUUACGGCCAAUUUCCCAGCCGAGAAGAGAGCCCCAGCAACUACCGCAAAGGGAUGUCAUCAAAUCCCUUUGGGCGCCGCAGCAAACUCCGGAUCAUGCCGCGAGCGUGGCCUCGUCGAUCCUGACCCAAAACCUUAGCGACGAUUUCAGAUCCGCCAGUUCCGUUUGCCACAGUUUUCCACCCGCCGGAAUAAGCGAUUGGCUCUCUAGCUGGAAAUGGCCAUGGGUCAUCUGGAGGUUGAGUGGAGUCAUCAGAGUGAACCUCAUCAGUUUCAUCUCUCAAUGUCCAAGCUGCUGGUGCUUGCUGCGGUGGUCGAAGUGUGGCAGGCAACACACAUCCUCAGCCUCUCCCUCUAGCUGACAGAUUCCUCAUUGAUCCUGCACUAGAAACAGCUGUUCCUAUCAAUUUCAUGCAUUAGCUUCUUUGUUCAGAAUUGAAAAAAAAUGUGCAAAAUGAUUAACUCAAUGGAAAGAAAGCAUUAUGUAAAAGCAGAAAAUGGAGGAGAACCAAAAUGGAGGAGCAGAAAAUGGAGGAACAGAAUCUAAUGAAGUUCAUGUGCAUGCAAAAUGAUGAAGCCAUUGUCUCUAAAGGCCUACCAAGUGAUGUGCAGAAAUUUGUAAAAGCUUUGUUAAUGGUGGAAGGAAGUGGGAUAUAAAUAUGUAAUGCAGAAAUGGAGGAGCAAGAAGUUUCGCUUCCUAUUUCAGCGAAGUAUCUCAAAAUGUACAAGAUAUUCAGAAAUGAAGCUAUAUAUUUCCUGCAUUCUAUUGUUAAAUUUGUUAUCCCGCUUGAACCUCAUCAACUUCUCCCGCGCAAGUGAAUGCUAGAAACUGUAACAGCAUGGGCUCUACUGCUCUACUGGGUUACUUGGAUUGCUGAUAUCUGUUCACAAGACGAGAUGACAGCUAUUCUGCCGUAGCCAUCAUUAACCUGUAACUCUGAUUUUUUUUAUUCUUAUUUUAUAGAUUAACUGCACAAGACUUGGCUAGUUGUGGAUAUAUAUUCAUACGAAAUUAUCCUGUUACAGUUAGCAGAAAAUAGUUUCUCUUGUUUUUACAAA